rnacentral:rRNA from 1 species
UGGAUAACUGUGGUAAUUCUAGAGUGAAUACAUGCCACGAAGCGCCGACCUUACGGAAGGCGUGCUUUUAUUAGGAUCAAGACCAACACGGGCUUGCCCGGCUUCGUUGGUGAACUCUGGAUAACUUCGCAGAUCGCAUUGUCAUCGUACAGGCGACAUUUCUUUCAAACGUCUGACCUAUCAAUUUUCGAUGGUACGAUAUGCGCCUACCAUGGUGCUAACGGGUGACGGGGAAUCAGGGUUCGAUUCCGGAGAGGGAGCCUGAGAAAUGGCUACCACAUCCAAGGAAGGCAGCAGGCGCGCAAAUUACCCACUCUCGACACGAGGAGGUAGUGACGAAAAAUAACAAUACAGGACUCUUUCGAGGCCCUGUAAUUGGAAUGAGUACACUUUAAAUCCUUUAACGAGGAUCUACUGGAGGGCAAGUCUGGUGCCAGCAGCCGCGGUAAUUCCAGCUCCAGUGGCGUAUAUUAAUACUGCUGCAGUUAAAAAGCUCGUAGUUGGAUCUAGGGCGUAGGCUGAGGGUCCCUCGCAAGGGGUGCACCUCUCUGACCUGGCCUCCCUCGCGGUUUGCGCCCGGUUCUCUUAAUUGAGUGCCGUGUGCUACCGGAACGUUUACUUUGAAAAAAUUGGAGUGUUCAAAGCAGGCGUAACAGCCUGAACAGCAGAGCAUGGAAUAAUGGAAUAGGACCUCGGUUCUAUUGCGUUGGUUUUAAGAGUUACGAGGUAAUGAUUAAGAGGGACUGACGGGGGCAUUCGUAUUGCGGUGUGAGAGGUGAAAUUCUAGGAUCGCCGCAAGACGACCGACAGCGAAAGCAUUUGCCAAGAAUGUCUUCAUUAAUCAAGAACGAAAGUUAGAGGUUCGAAGGCGAUCAGAUACCGCCCUAGUUCUAACCAUAAACUAUGCCGACCGGCGAUUCGCCGGCGUUACUCCAAUGACACGGCAGGCA